rnacentral:rRNA from 1 species
UGGGGAAUUUUCCGCAAUGGGCGAAAGCCUGACGGAGCAAUACCGCGUGAGGGAGGAAGGCUCUUGGGUUGUAAACCUCAAAACUUAGGGAAGAAAAAAAUGACGGUACCUAAUGUAAGCAUCGGCUAACUCCGUGCCAGCAGCCGCGGUAAUACGGAGGAUGCAAGCGUUAUCCGGAAUCAUUGGGCGUAAAGAGUCCGUAGGUGGCACUUCAAGUCUGCUUUCAAAGACCGAAGCUCAACUUCGGAAAGGGAGUGGAAACUGAAGAGCUAGAGUAUAGUAGGGGUAGAGGGAAUUCCUAGUGUAGCGGUGAAAUGCGUAGAGAUUAGGAAGAACACCAGUGGCGAAGGCGCUCUACUGGGCAUAUACUGACACUGAGGGACGAAAGCUAGGGGAGCGAAAGGGAUUAGAUACCCCUGUAGU